GAUGAACGCUGGCGACGUGCCUAAUACAUGCAAGUCGAGCGAACGGACGAGAAGCUUGCUUCUCUGAUGUUAGCGGCGGACGGGUGAGUAACACGUGGAUAACCUACCUAUAAGACUGGGAUAACUUCGGGAAACCGUAGCUAAUACCGGAUAAUAUUUUGAACCGCAUGGUUCAAAAGUGAAAGACGGUCUUGCUGUCACUUAUAGAUGGAUCCGCGCUGCAUUAGCUAGUUGGUAAGGUAACGGCUUACCAAGGCAACGAUGCAUAGCCGACCUGAGAGGGUGAUCGGCCACACUGGAACUGAGACACGGUCCAGACUCCUACGGGAGGCAGCAGUAGGGAAUCUUCCGCAAUGGGGGAAAGCCUGACGGAGCAACGCCGCGUGAGUGAUGAAGGUCUUCGGAUCGGAAAACUCUGUUAUUAGGGAAGAACAUAUGUGUAAGUAACUGUGCACAUCUUGACGGUACCUGAUCAGAAAGCCACGGCUAACUACGUG
rnacentral:rRNA from 1 species